rnacentral:rRNA from 1 species
UACGAAGGGGGCUAGCGUUGCUCGGAAUCACUGGGCGUAAAGCGCACGUAGGCGGCUUCUUAAGUCAGGGGUGAAAUCCUGGAGCUCAACUCCAGAACUGCCUUUGAUACUGAGGAGCUCGAGUCCGGGAGAGGUGAGUGGAACUCCGAGUGUAGAGGUGAAAUUCGUAGAUAUUCGGAAGAACACCAGUGGCGAAGGCGGCUCACUGGCCCGAGUACUGACGCUGAGGUGCGAAAGCGUGGGGAG